UAGUUUAGCUCUAUCACCUCAGGCUGUGAUCUCAUCAGGAGCUCACAAACUAAGUAGGGUCAGACUAGGUCAGCAUUUGGAUGGGAAACUGCUGAGGGAAGCUUGAAUGCUGCAGGAG
rnacentral:rRNA from 1 species